rnacentral:tRNA from 3 species
GUCGGCGUAGCUCAGUUGGUUAGAGCACAGCACUCAUAAAGCUGGGGUCGGAGGUUCAAAUCCUCCCGUCGACA